UCCUUGUACCCGAAUUGUCACCGUAUGGUGUGCGUGUCUGGAAAACUUCAGACUAGGGUACAGUGACGAU
rnacentral:sRNA from 12 species